rnacentral:piRNA from 1 species
UGUUGACCUUAUAUUUUUUUA